AAAAGAAGCUGUAACUGCAUGUGGAUUGUGUUAAUGUAUUUCCUUAUUGUGGAGUUUAAGUUAUGUUUUAUGAGUUAUACUUUUGUCAUUUGUUUAUGGUAUCAUACUUAAUAUUUAUCUCAGUUGGGUGAGAUAGAUAAUGUCCCCAUUUUAUAGUCAAGAACCAUUAAGCAGUUGAGAGCUGGGCUGAAGUGUGGAAUCCUUCCUCAACUGUUUUUCCCAUUACAUUUUAAAUAGCUCCAAUCCAAGAAAAAGCCUUGCUUCACUUUUGAUCUCAUAUCCAAAAGUUGAGUAAGGUAAACAUAAUUUUUUUUUUGCUUAAUUAAAAAAAGUGAAUCUGCAAUACAUGACCAUGUAAUUCUUUGUAAGCAUCUUCUCAGAUGAUGGGCACAGAUUAGUAAUUGGUUGAGCUAUGGUAUGCGCUCAUUUUUGGUUGCGAGUUUUUUUCCUUCUCCUUAUAUGCAGUGCCAUUUGAGAAUUGCCCUGGAAAGGUGCUAUUUUCUCUCUUUCUGCAGACUUUUAUAUCAGUUUCUUAGUGUGCAAUGUAGAAGAAUAUCACUCUCAUGACCUUUCAGGUAAAUAGGCACAAUGAAGCAGCUAAGAUGCUGAGGACUGCGUAAUGGGGUUUUCACUUACACACAUGGUUGUAAUUCCUCAAGGUAAUGCUGGUGGAUGGGAUGAUUCAGGAGGUAGUCAUGAAAGUCUUCCUUGCCUGGCAGGGUUUCCGCACCAUAGUUCCGUAUCCUUUUUCCUCAUGGUUUACUCCAACUGCACUGAUAUCCUUUUACUAUUUCUCUUACUAUGACUUUGAGAUUGACAGUUACCCCCAAACCAUUUUGAAUCCAAGUGUGUUCCAUGAUUAGAGGAGGUGAAUGUUGAUUGAUAAAGAAGUGGACAUGAGAUAACCAGAAAGGUAAUGAACUAUGGAUUAUUCUUUUAAAUGUGUGAUACAGGUUGAGAAUUCCCAGACCUUGGUGCAUGUGGGGAGGCGAUUUUGGCCUACUCCAUGUAAAACUCUCUUCAGAAGGACAAAUGGCUCUGUUCACUAGUUGGACAGAUUGAGGCAGGGACAAAUUAAGAACUUUUAGUGAUGGUUCAUCCACUGGAUUUUAUCAUAGAUUUUUUUUUAUCAGUUUAAUGGUCUGGGGCAGUUGAUUUGACUUUUUCUUGAAAUAAAUCAACAACAAAAAAAGAACUUCACUCUCUCUUAUUUGUUGCCUAAACAAUGUUUCCAAAAGUUAAUUGACUGUCUCCAGUACAGCUGAUUUGAUUGUCUCAAGAAAUCAGUUAGUUUUGCUAAAAAACAGAUAUAACUCCUCUACCUCUUGUCUGGUGCUUAUACAAUGUUUCCAGAAGAUCAUUAUCCUUCAGCAUGCUAUCAGUAUGGAGAAGGCCCAUUUUUUUUAAAAAAAGAUAAUGCUCCCUCUCUUUCGUGAAUUUCAGCCUAUUUAGACUUGGUUCUUAUGCCUCACAUUGAAUACUUGUUCUAGAGAAAUGUGAUCCCAGGAAUGCUGGUGGUUUGCUGUGUGUUAAAAUGGUGCUAUGCUUUAGGUUUCUGUUCCAAUCUAAGAUUUCAGAAGAGUCAGUAACUGCAAAUAAUCUAAAAGGGGAAGAGUGAAGAAUGCUUCUAACUUCCCUUUGAAAUGAAUAGCUCUGCCAGAGCAGCAGCUAUUAGAAAAACAAAAACGACAAAGAAAAGCUGCUCGGCUCAGCACACAGAGGUAAAUUUACUUACAUCAGACUGAAAAAUGAGGGCUGGGCUUUGAAAAGACAUCCCUUCUGACUAGAGGAGAGCUUGUAAUUUUGGCAUGGCUGCAGCCCUCCUAAACCCCUGAGAAAUUCUGAAAAACAUUACAGAAGACUGUUCUUAAUAUUAAUGGAUGUCUUCGCGUGCGUGUGUGUGUGUGUGUGUGUGUGUGUGUUUGUGUAUCUAUGCAUUCGGAAAGAAAAAUGCCAGCCAGAGAAGAGGGGAAGAAUGAGAGAAGAACGGAUUAUGUAGGUUGAAGAUCUACCACUGAAAAUGUCUAAUUUCUGACGAAUCAUUGGCAUUCGUCAUUCUCUACUCUUCAGCCAAUAGAGUAGCUCAAGAUGAGAUUGAGAGGAACACCCGCCAUUCAGACACUCUUAAGUUAUUAGCCUUCCAAUAAUGCGGCCCUCUUAACAAACUCUUCCUAAAAUACUUUGUUUGUAGAUAACACAGCUCACUGAUAUAAUCUAAGAUCAUGGUCUUAUCUAUUAUAUGACAUCAGAGGUGAAAAAAAGACCGUUUUCCCAUGGCUAAUUGUGGCAAGUGUGGCAUCAUGUUGUACUCUUAGUGAACAAUUUCAGGGCCACCAAGAGCCUACUGCUCUGCCUCUUGGGAGGGGACUUUUCCUUUGCAGCUCAGCUUCAGGAAACACGAACAUUUGUGUUUUCGAGACCACAUACCAUUGGGAAGGAAGUUGGGGUGGAGAUGCGUGCUGAGAUUAAGUGGCUACGAGAAUCCCUGGACUGUGUCUGAUCUGGAAACCACUAGGGCUUGUGCAGUCCUCUUUCUGGCAUGCCUUUAGAACUUGCCAAGUGCACAACAGGGCCACUAAGGAUAUUGUUCACCAAAUAACAUAUGGAGAAUUCCUGUUGUUGUGCAGCAGAAACAAAUCUGACUGGUAUCUUUGAGGAUAUGGGUUCGAUCCCUGGCUUCCUCCGUGGGUCGGGGUCCGGCCUUGCCUUGAGCUGUGAUGAGGUCACAGACACGGCUUGGAUCCCAUGUUGCUGUGGCUGUGGUGUAGCCCAGCAGCUGUAGCUCCGAUUUGACCCCUAGCCUGGGAAUUUCCAUAUGCCUUCCUGAAAG
rnacentral:lncRNA from 1 species